rnacentral:lncRNA from 1 species
CUGGUUUCCACCUGCUCCUGGAGCUGUCCCUGUGCCACAGUUGUCUGUACCCGGAUCCCAAUUGGAGAAAGCCCGUCUCCAAGAUUGCUGACACACAGGCUUACAGGAGUGUCAAGCCACUGUUAGAGACAGCAAGACUAGCUAACACCAAAGAGAGGCAGAUGGAAGAGGUAAGGGUAAAAAUCUAAGUAGCAGAAACCAAGGCCCCCCACCACAGCAAGCCCUGGAUACCCAAACACUGGAAAAGCAUUAUUUUGAUUUAAAACCACAACUCAUGAUGAUGAUAGAGAACUUUAAGAAGGACAUAAAUAAUUCUCUUUAAGAAAUACAGGACAACACAGAUAAACAGAAACCUUUAAAGAGGAAGCAAAAAAAACGCCCAUAAAGAAUUACAAGAGGGGUUGGGGAUUUGGCUCAGUGGCAGAGCGCUUGCCUAGGAAGCGCAAGGCCCUGGGUUCGGUCCCCAGCUCCGAAAAAAAGAACCAAAAAA